AUUCUUAGCCACAGGCAUAUUUUCCACCAGCUUUUAACAACCCACCACCUCCUUUUCCCCUUCCCUCCCACACAAUAACUGGGAUGACUUGUCUAGAUCUUAGGCAACAAUUCUCUUAGCACAUCAGCUCCUGGAAACAAAUGCACUUAACCAGAAAAACAGGGACAUCAACCAGCAAAGAUGCAUCCUCAUUUAAUAGAGCUUGAAAUUACUAUAAUCUGUAAAGUACAGCGAGAAGAAGAAGUUUCACCUGCCUGCACAUCUGUCGUUGACUCUCCAUCUGACUUGGAGGGACUCUGAGGGACCAACCUGAGCCUGAGAAGAGGCAAGAUUCCCCUUCAAGGACACACUGGGAACUUACGGACCUCUUUCUCCAUGGUGCAGAGCGCAGAGGUGAACAAACAGACGCAUAAUAGCUCUUGAGCUUGCCAUUGGGAAGUGAAAAUCAACUGCUUGAAUAAAUGUAAGGACUCAGGCUGGUCAAGUGAAGCAGCGGGAGUGGAGAAGGAACAUGAGGCCACCUUAUGUGACCAUCUCUCACAUUAGCCUUCUGCACUCACAGUUCCCUCCAUGCACAGCUGAAAAUGUUCUUCAGUUUAAAAACUGGGUGGCCGAGGCGGGCGGAUCACGAGGUCAGGAGUUCAAGACCAGCCUAGCCAACAUAGUGAAACCCUGUCUCUACUAAAAAUACAAAAACUUAGCUGGACAUGGUGGUGGGCGUCUGUAAUCCCAGCUACUUGGGAGGCUGAGACAGGAUAACUGCUUGAACCCGGGAAGUGGAGGUUGCAGUGAGCGGAGAUCGUGCCAUUGCACUCCAGCCUGGGCGACAGAGCAAGACUCCGUCAAGAAAAAACAAAACAAAACAAAAAACUCAUGUGAUUAGAUUGCACUUACCUAAAUAAGCAGGAUCAUUUCCCUAUCAUAAGGUUCUGAACCUUAAUCACAUCUGCAGAGUUCCUUUUGACAGGUAAGACAAUAUAUUCAUUUUCUGAAGAGUUAGAUCCAGGCAAGUUUGAGGGACUAUUAUUCUGCCUACCACACCCUCUCUAUAGAUUGUCCUAUCCCUCAUGGUGUCUGACUUCCUCCAAGAACUCCAAAGGAAAGGGAUUACAUUUUUUAUUUCUUCACUCCUGGAUGCUCCUUGGUCCUCAUGCAAAUCUGCCCACUGUGUCUCCAAAAGAAUUCCAACUAUGUAUUUCAGGGGAACCAAAUAUGAGAGCUGCAAGGAACUUUUCUUAAAAGCCUUUGACAUCUCCCCUUUCUGUCUUCUUUCUUCUUUCUCCUCUAGCUAACCUGAAACAGGUGUGAUGGUUACUUCCAGCCACUGUUGUGGACCAAGGGAAGGCAGAGCUCUGCCUAGUGUUAGGGAGGGAGAAUGUCUGAAGCAGCCUGAUCCCUGAUGUCCUUUAGGCUGUCAUACCGGACCUGUGCAGCAUCCAUCCAGACUUCUACCAUAUUAGAACCAAAUACACUUUUAUCUUAUUUAAACCACUCUUUGUUUUAAAUCUGUCUAUUAAUAGGAAGCCAAACUAAUCCUACCUGAUGCAAGAAAGAGAAUAGAAUUCUAAGAAACCCAUCUUCAUUGGCCAAUAAUUUUCACUUAGCAAGAUAGGUCACAGUAAUUCAUCUUUCCUGGAGUAUUCCAAAUAAAGCAUAAAUUUAGGAAUAAAACUACUGUGAUUGAGGAUUCAAAUUAGUAAUGGAGUGACACUUUGUGUCAAUUUUUGUCAAAUAUAUGUCCUAAGAAAUUGUUUCAUUAGCUAGCUAUUUAAACGAGUGAUAAUAUCUGUACUUAUAUCUGAUUUAUCGUGGUCCUAUGGGCAGCUGUUACUUCUGGAGAAUCUGCUUAGAAG
rnacentral:lncRNA from 1 species